AUCUGGGCGGCGGAAUUCAGGAUGGCCAUCGUGCUCUAGCGGUGCGUUGGUCGUUUGAUAUUUCCGUCGCCAACAAACCGCAGACGUCGCGACCUGUUCGCGGUCGGUCCCUGCUCGGAGGAGCCGCGUUCGAGCUCGUUGUGUGCGCGUUUCGGCGCGUCACACGGCGAAGGCGCGGAUCUCUGGCUGGCCGUCGGACAGUAUGCUUAGCGGUGUCCGGUGUCGUCGUCUCGUACGCGCGGCAUCGGUACCGGUCAGCGACGAAUUCUUCGGGCCUCUUUCCGACCCGUCUUGAAACACGGACCAAGGAGUCUAACAUGCGCGCGAGUCGCGGGGUAUCGAGCGUACUUCGGUGCGUUCGUUAUGUUGCGAAACCCGUACAUGUCGAAGGCGUAAUGAAAGUGAAUGGGGAAGAUGGUGUUCCGAGUUCACGUUCCGCGAUCGUCGGUAUCGCGGCCGGACACCCGCAUUCCCGGGGCGUCUCAACGGCCCGUCGCUGAUGCGGACAGUCGUCUUUCGGGGCGGCUGUCGGUCGGCGACGAACCGA
rnacentral:rRNA from 2 species